UGCAGUCGCGCGGUCAGCAAUGGCAGCGGCGGACGGGUGAGUAACGCGUAGGAACGUAUCCAGAGGUGGGGGACAACCCCGGGAAACUGGGGCUAAUACCGCAUAUGUCCUGAGGGACAAAGCAGUGAUGCGCCUUUGGAGCGGCCUGCGUCCGAUUAGGUAGUUGGUGGGGUAAUGGCCUACCAAGCCUGCGAUCGGUAGCUGGUCUGAGAGGACGAUCAGCCACACUGGGACUGAGACACGGCCCAGACUCCUACGGGAGGCAGCAGUGGGGAAUAUUGGACAAUGGGCGCAAGCCUGAUCCAGCAAUGCCGCGUGUGUGAAGAAGGUCUUCGGAUCGUAAAGCACUUUCGACAGGGACGAUGAUGACGGUACCUGUAGAAGAAGCCCCGGCUAACUUCGUGCCAGCAGCCGCGGUAAUACGAAGGGGGCUAGCGUUACUCGGAAUUACUGGGCGUAAAGGGCGCGUAGGCGGCUCGACCAGUCAGGCGUGAAAUUCCUGGGCUUAACCUGGGGACUGCGCUUGAUACUGUCGGGCUUGAGGCCGAGAGAGGGUGGUGGAAUUCCCAGUGUAGAGGUGAAAUUCGUAGAUAUUGGGAAGAACACCGGUGGCGAAGGCGACCACCUGGCUCGGUACUGACGCUGAGGCG
rnacentral:rRNA from 1 species